rnacentral:rRNA from 1 species
GGACUACCGGGGUAUCUAAUCCUGUUUGCUCCCCACGCUUUCGUUGUUGAGUGUCAGUGCUCGUCCAGGUCGCCGCCUUCGCCGCUGGUGUUCCUCCCGAUCUCUACGCAUUUCACCGCUACACCGGGAAUUCCACGACCCUCUCCGAGACUCUAGUCUUACCGUUUCUGGGGCACUUCUUGAGUUAAGCCCAAGGCUUUCACCCCAGACAAAUAAGACCACCUACCAACCCUUUACGCCCAAUAAUUCCGAGCAACGCUUGCACCCCUCGUAUUACCGCGGCUGCUGGCAC